UGAGCAAGUUUUGCAGGCUUUGCUACUCCCAAGCUGUCAUUUCAAGGUUAUGGCUUUAAAACAACAGAAGGCAGCUUUCCACCUGCACCUUCCUUAAUGGAAACAGCCAGGCUCCAGCCUGCCUCUGGGAAAAAGAAAACCUUGGAGUAUAAAGAAAUAUGAAGCAAUGCCGUCAGCUGAGAGUGGGAAGCCUGAAAGAGUGGAAGAAUGAAUCGACUAGGGAAAUGUGAUGUGGUCACAGAGAAGAUCGAAGGAGAUGAACAGGGGAAGAAGGUGUUUGUAUUGCACCCACUCUGGUCAGACUACCCCUCAACCAACCACGACUCAAGGGAUACAGGACUGUCCUGCUGGCUUGGACUCUUCUGGACUCGUCCCGAUGGCUUCUAGGGUUCCUUCCAUUCGUGCUGGCUACACGAUGGGGAGAGGUGGAGUAGUGAUCAGAAUGUCUUCCACUAUGUGACACUGAAACUGGCCGGGCAUCAGCCUCCUCUGUGUCUCUGGUUACCUGUCCCAGAGCAAGGAAGGGCUCCUGAGUAGAGUCCCUUCCUCUUCUGCGGUGAAGUGUGGAGGACCAGGGCAGCGGCACAGGCAGAGCACCAAGGCAAGGAUACGAAU